GUCGUGAUUGAAUAAAGAUAGUCCCUUGGUGGCCGGUGCGGUUCAUAAAGUAUCGAGUGCAGUGUUUUCAUUUAAAUAAUCCGAUAUCACAUUUGGCGACGACGGUGAAUUAUUGUGAGUAUUUUAAAAGUGUCAAGCCGCCAAGCAAAACACCCGUAGCCAUCUGCCAAACAACAAAAUUUUGAAAUCCGCACGCAGUAGGUACAGACGGUACAGACAUCCUAUUUAAUGGAGAAUUAUUCUCAAUUAGAUUAAAUAUAAAUAUCCGGAAAAGUGGAUAAUUAAUGGAAGGUUGCCGCUGUGAAGCGAUGAAUUUAGCUCCAUCGGUCUGCGGAUUUUCCCCUGAGAUAAACAACUUCGCAUCGCAUUCUCUCAAACUGAAAACGUUGCUCUAGGCUACAGGCAACGGAAGAUCGUUCCAGUCAAUUGGAAUCACCUGUACAAUGAUAGAGCAAUGGAAAGCAUACAAUGAUAGAGCGAUGCAAAAGGACCGAGAGUGUGACGCGGGGGAACAACGCUGGCCAAAUUUCGGAUCUAUAAAAUACCAUCGAUAGUUGGUUUCAACAUCUGUAAUAUCGAGCAACAGGAGUUCACAAAGUUCAAGGGGGUAGUUGUCGAAAUACCUAUUGACGACAACGUGCAGCCUGUCCAGCAGCCCUACCGGCGGGUGCCGUUUGCUCUCGAGGAGAAAGUAGAGGAGAAAAUACGAGCAAUGUUGGCACAGGGAAUAAUUGAACG